CCUACGGGAGACAGCAGUGGGGAAUAUUGCGCAAUGGGCGAAACCCUGACGCAGCAACGCCGCGUGAGUGAUGAAGUAAUUCGGUAUGUAAAGCUCUAUCAUCAGGGAAGAACAUGACGGUACCUAAGUAUGAAGCCCCGGCUAACUCCGUGCCAGCAGCCGCGGUAAUACGUAGGGGGCAAGCGUGAGCCGGAUUUACUGGGGGUAAAGGGAUCGUAGGCGGCAGUGCAAGUCUGGAGUGAAAGGCGGGGGCUCAACCUCCGGACGGCACUGGAAACUGUACGGCUGGAGUGCAGGAGAGGUAAGUGGAAUUCCUAGUGUAGCGGUGAAAUGCGUAGAUAUUAGGAGGAACACCAGUGGCGAAGGCGGCUUACUGGACUGUAACUGACGUUGAGGAUCGAAAGCGUGGGGAGCAAACAGGAUUAGAUACCCGGGUAGUC
rnacentral:rRNA from 1 species